rnacentral:sRNA from 1 species
CGGAGCGGAUCACGGUGCUGGACCAGCACCUGAGGCCCCCAGCCCGCCGACCCGGAACCACAACGCCGGCCCGUGUUGAUCUACAGCAGCAAAUUAUGACCAUUAUAGAUGAACUGGGCAAGGCUUCUGCCAAGGCCCAGAAUCUUUCCGCUCCCAUCACUAGUGCAUCAAGGAUGCAGAGUAACCGCCAUGUUGUUUAUAUUCUCAAAGACAGUUCAGCCCGACCGGCUGGAAAAGGAGCCAUUAUUGGUUUCAUCAAAGUUGGAUACAAGAAGCUCUUUGUACUGGAUGAUCGUGAGGCUCAUAAUGAGGUAGAACCACUUUGCAUCCUGGACUUUUACAUCCAUGAGUCUGUGCAACGCCAUGGCCAUGGGCGAGAACUCUUCCAGUAUAUGUUGCAGAAGGAGCGAGUGGAACCGCACCAACUGGCGAUUGACCGACCCUCACAGAAGCUGCUGAAAUUCCUGAAUAAGCACUACAAUCUGGAGACCACAGUCCCACAGGUGAACAACUUUGUGAUCUUUGAAGGCUUCUUUGCCCAUCAACAUCGGCCCCCUGCUCCCUCUCUGAGGGCAACUCGACACUCUCGUGCUGCUGCAGUCGAUCCCACGCCCACUGCUCCAGCAAGGAAGCUGCCACCCAAGAGAGCAGAGGGAGACAUCAAGCCAUACUCCUCUAGUGACCGAGAAUGGGGACUCCCCCAGGUCUGGUAGCCCAAAGCUGCUGCUACAGCCGCCAUGGGGGGGUGAAUUCCUCAUCCCCCAAUACAGGCAACCAAGACUCCAAGCAGGGAGAACAGGAAACAAAGAAUAGGUGAGGUCUAAACCCCUCCCCUAACAGCCUCCCACCACCAUCUGACUCCCUUCCUAACAUCAUUCUCAGUCACUUCCUACUCUUACAUCUUAUUGUAUGAACUGGACACCAGCUCCUCCCACAAUUCCUUCUACCUUACAUCCUGCAAGCCCCUUUCCCCCACAGGUUCAACUCUGGUACUUCCCUUUGGAAUACGGAUUCUCUGAGAGGUUUUAAAUUUGGACAUAGCACUAAUGGUUCCAGCUUCAUACCCAUCAUGUGUCCUACAUUAAAACCUGGCCCGAGACCUUGAAGAGUCUGUAAUCUUAAUUUCCUCUUUAGUAUUCCUAUAACCCACUCUCCAUCUCCCCACCUACCAGGUCUGCCAGUGAGGAGCAGGCCUUGUCACAGGAUGGGUCUGGGGAGAAGCCCAUGCACACAGCUCCUCCACAGGCCCCGGCCCCGGCCCCGCCAGCCCAGUCCUGGACAGUGGGUGGGGACAUACUCAACGCCAGGUUCAUUCGAAACCUGCAGGAACGUCGCAGCACCAGGCCUUGGUGACCGCAGCCCCGUCAAACAUCUUCAAAGUAUUAUUUCUCCCUCCCUACAGGAAAGAGCCAAAGCCCAACCCUCAUAAUAGAUGGAUACAUUCAUUCAUUCAUUCGUUCAGCAGGCUUAUCAGAUUCAAGUCAUUUGUAUCUUUUAACCAGACCAAUAAAAGUAUUUAUUUUUAUCACAAGA